AUACGGAGGGUGCGAGCGUUGUUCGGAAUUAUUGGGCGUAAAGAGCAUGUAGGCGGUCUGUUAAGUCUGGUGUGAAAGCCCGGGGCUCAACCCCGGAAGUGCAUUGGAUACUGGCAGACUUGAGUAUGGGAGAGGAAAGCGGAAUUCCGAGUGUAGGAGUGAAAUCCGUAGAUAUUCGGAGGAACACCAGUGGCGAAGGCGGCUUUCUGGACCAAUACUGACGCUGAGAUGCGAAAGCGUGGGGAGCGAACAGGAUUAGAAACCCUAUUAGUCC
rnacentral:rRNA from 1 species